CCCUUAGAUGUUCUGGGCCGCACGCGCGCUACACUGAUGCAUUCAACGAGUUUUUCCUGGUCCGAGAGGAAUGGGUAACCUUUUGAAAGUGCAUCGUGCUAGGGAUAGACUAUUGCAAUUAUUGGUCUUCAACGAGGAAUUCCUAGUAGACGUAGUUCAUCAGACUGCAUCGAUUACGUCCCUGCCCUUUGUACACACCGCCCGUCGCACCUACCGAUUGAAUGUUUCGGUGAAGAUUCCGGAUAGGACUUUUUUGAUUUAUUUCAAUUUUGUCUUAAAAGCUAUCUAAACCUCAACAUUUAGAGGAAGGUGAAGUCGUAACA
rnacentral:rRNA from 1 species